UUCGCAUUUCAAACUGUAUCGAAAAUUUCUAAUCAAAGACAUAUUUUUCGAAAAUUUGCUAAAAUACACGUGGUCUGCGCGUGAACACAACGAACGUCACGUGACGUCUUUGCAUGGGAUCGAUGAUGGAAUUCUGUCCGUCGACGACCGGGCCACAAACAGAAAGUCAGUCGAGUUAUUAGUUGUUGGUAACAACUACGAAAAAAGUGCCCUCACGUGAGAUGAGUUGGCCAGAACCAUGUUCGUGGAAACAAAGAAAAUGGUCCCUCCAGAUGGCGGAUGGGGGUGGAUCGUCGUCAUAGGAGUCAGUGUCGUCAAUUUAUGUACUCGUUCAAUCGAGCCAUCUUUCGGUUUACUCUUCGGCGACUUACUGAAAGAGCUGAAAGUUGAAACGACCGGAGCCGCCCUUAUAAUGAGUACUUUGGACGCAUUGAUCAACUUUUCAGGACUUUUCGUAGGACCUCUAAUCCGUGCCUUCUCAUAUCGUAAAGUUUCCCUCGUCGGAUCAGCUUUAUGCGCCUUGGGGCUGAUUUUGACCUAUCCCGCCAACAGUAUGGCGCACAUCCUUGCAACAUACAGUAUUAUCAACGGUUUAGGAGUAGGUUUAACCGCAUCGUCGACUUUCGUCGCACUCAAUAAUUAUUUUGUGAAAAAGCGAGGUCAAGCUGUGGGUCUUUCACUCGCAGGGACGGCUUUUGGUAUGAUGUUGAUGCCACAAGCCGUCAAAUUGCUUUUAGAAGAGUUUAGUUUUCGUGGAACGAUUUUAAUUUUGGGAGCAUUUGCUUUAAAUGCGAUUGUGGGCUCAUCGUUGUUACAACCGGCGAAAUGGCAUUUUGUACCCGAAAUCAAGGACGAGGAAGAAGGCUAUCAUCAGAGAAUCUCCUUCUUUUUUGCGUCAAAUGAGGAAAUGGAGACGAUCAAAGAAACGGAGGACGAAGAUCUCGACUUGCAUGAAGCCCAAACUUUGAUCAAUACGAAGGGAAUGUCCGAAUUGGCUGUGAAAACUUUAGAAGAGUUGACAAAACAGCCGGGUUUGUCGCGAAAAUCGACUUUUCCUCGGAAUUUUUCAACGAUGAGUUUUCUCGGGAGUAAAAGACGAAAACCGUCACAGGAAUCGAUCGUUUCGAGUUAUUCUCGCCUGGAUUUUACCGGUUCCAGUCUUCAAUUACAUCUAGAGCAAAACGAAACUGAUUCGGGUUCGAGUUCCGCCACCCACCUUCGUCGUAAUAUGAGUUAUCCUGGUGUUCAACUCACUUCGCACAAGAAAAUUCUGGCUGAAUUUGCAAAAUCUCCGCUAAAGUUCGAAGUGGAGAAGAAGAAGAAGAACGUGUGGAAGAAGAUUGUUGAUUUUAUGGAUUUUGAUCUAUUGACAGAUCCCAUUUACUUGAAUCUGGUUUUCGGUCUAUCGAUUUUCUACGUGGCCGAACAGAAUUUUAAAUUGGUUACACCGUUUUUCUUCGAGAAUAUCGGCUACAAAAAAGCGGACGUCGCCUUGUUUUUAUCCGUCCAGGCGUUCACCGAUAUCCUGGCAAGACUGAUCCUGCCGCCGAUCUGCGACAGGAUUAAUGUGUCGAAAAGGACACUUUUCAUGACCGGGAUUUUUGUUUUGGGUAUUUGUCGCUCAGGUAAAUGUUUUUGCGAGUCUAAUGUCCGUUUCGAGGACGGAUGGCUUGAAAAAUUCGAAAAUUGUAGAAAAAAAAUGUAUGUGAUUGUGAUUUGGUAACGAAGCCGUCCGUUCUUGCGACCUGUUACACUAUAAUUAAAUUCUCUCCAUUGCUUUAGGAUUUCCAGGUCAAGUCCCUUUUUUCGAGUUAUGUUUAUUUAAUCGUACGGAUUUUUAAUUUUUCAAAUAACUUUCGGGAUUGGAAAAAGACUUUUGGUUCGAUUGGGAAGUUCCGCUCAUAAAAUUAGAGUUUUUCUUUGAUUAUUUGACGCGUCCCUAGUUCGUAACUUUUGCCUGUUAUGACCAUGUAUUCUAAUGUUGUUAUGACUUUUUGUUGGCAGCGGAAGGAGCCAAAGACUAGGUAACCCCCAAAAACAUAGAAAAUUUGAUUUGAAAAAUCCUGCAGGAGUUUGUCAUUUUGUUUUCAAUUGCUGAUUUAUAAUUUUUUCUUUUGCACAGAGUCACUUGGUGGUUUUCGUGCUUUGGAUGUAAUUAGUAUUUCUGUUUCUUCCAGUCCUCGCUGAACAGACCGAUUGGACCCCCAUUAUGGUGUGGUUGGUCAUUUGUGGGUUCUUCAGGGGGGCUGCCCUCAUUAAUUUCACCAUCACGAUAUCCGAAUACUCAUCAUUGGAAAAGUUACCAGCCGCUUUCG